rnacentral:rRNA from 1 species
UACGUAGGCAGCAAGCGUUGUUCGGAAUUACUGGGCGUAAAGAGUGUGUAGGCGGUAUUCUAAGUCUGUCGUGAAAUCUCCCGGCUUAACUGGGAGGGUGCGGCGGAAACUGGAAUGCUAGAGGAUGGGAGAGGUAAGCGGAAUUCCUGGUGUAGCGGUGAAAUGCGUAGAUAUCAGGAGGAACACCUGUGGUGUAGACAGCUUACUGGACCAUUUCUGACGCUGAGACACGAAAGCGUGGGUAGCGAACAGG